rnacentral:rRNA from 1 species
UACAGAGGUGGCAAGCGUUGUUCGGAAUUACUGGGCGUAAAGGGCGCGUAGGCGGUCUUCUAAGUCUUGUGUGAAAUCCCUCGGCUCAACUGAGGAACUGCACGGGAUACUGGAUGACUUGAGUUCGGGAGAGGGAAGCGGAAUUCCGGGUGUAGCGGUGAAAUGCGUAGAUAUCCGGAGGAACACCGGUGGCGAAGGCGGCUUCCUGGACCGACACUGAUGCUGAGGCGCGAAAGCUAGGGGAGCAAACGGG